UGUUCUGUGGCUUAGUUGGUCGAAGCGCCGGUCUAGCGAAUACGGAGUCGUGAAUUCGAAUCACACCAGAACGC
rfam:Aedes albopictus isolate Foshan contig44639, whole genome shotgun sequence.